GACGUAGGGCGCAAGCGUUGUCCGGAUUUAUUGGGCGUAAAGAGCUCGUAGGCGGCUUGUCGCGUCGUCUGUGAAAUCCCGCGGCUCAACCGCGGGUCUGCAGUCGAUACGGGCAGGCUAGAGUUCGGUAGGGGAGACUGGAAUUCCUGGUGUAGCGGUGAAAUGCGCAGAUAUCAGGAAGAACACCGGUGGCGAAGGCGGCUCUCUGGGCCUUACCUGACGCUGAGGAGCGAAAGCGUGGGUAGCGAACAGG
rnacentral:rRNA from 1 species